rnacentral:rRNA from 1 species
UACGUAGGGGGCAAGCGUUGUCCGGAUUUAUUGGGCGUAAAGAGCGUGUAGGCGGUUAGGUAGGUCGGUUGUGAAAACUGGAGGCUCAACCUUCAGAGGUCGACCGAAACCCCCUGGCUAGAGUCCGGGAGAGGAGAGUGGAAUUCCUGGUGUAGCGGUGAAAUGCGCAGAUAUCAGGAAGAACACCCGUGGCGAAAGCGGCUCUCUGGAACGGUACUGACGCUGAGACGCGAAAGCGUGGGGAGCGAACAGG